AGCAGUUGAUUUCAGUAAUCGUCGACUUUUUUUUCCUACUGGCUUGAAGUCGUCAGGUGUAAAAUGUUCACUGCACAACCUCAUUUGUUUGACGACUUUCAGUGGUAAAUUAACAUCCCGCUGAACAGCCAGCAGCCAUAGCUUCAGUCGCUCAAGAUCAUUAAAUGGGAAAGUGAAAAAGGUAAGCCGUUCAUUUUGCAACAUUGAAGCACUUUUACGUUCUCUGGUUGGUUUCUCACGAUUCGGACAUCCUGGAAAUGCACACUUUUUAACCAUUGUAUAUGAUAUAGCGAGACCUACAGCACAUUAAGUGUCGAAUUGAAAAGCGUAUGUACAGCGCGCGUCUUCCUCUGCUUGUAAACAGAAAGUUUUGCGCUUCCAACACGUCAUCUUAUACGGUAGGUGGCGGUAAUACUCCUAAGCGGUGAGCAGCCGGUAACAAGAAGUAGUCGAAGAAGAACGUCCUCAUCUCAUUUCUCGCGCAUGCGCCGACAAGGAAGUAACGGAAUAGUCGAAUAAAGUCGUUAUUUAUGUGUUUUUUUUCGCACAAAAAGUAGUCUCGUCGCUUGAUAAACUUAUAUUUGAGCCACUGUAGGCACAUGGAAUAUUUAAACAUUUUCUUUAAUGACUUUCUGGGCCGUCAAGUGUCAUUCCCUUAGGAAGCCUAUGUAGCAGUGAUCCAGCUCUCAGAUUUAAUCAAAAACAUCUUCAUUUGUGUUCCGAAGAUGAACGAAGGUCUUACGGGGUUGGUACAGCAUGGGGGUGAGUAAUUAAUGACUUAAUUUUCAUUUUUGGGUGAACUAACCCUUUAACUC